ensembl:lncRNA
UGCAAUUUAAUAGGUCUUUAUUGUCGCAGACGAUUGUCAAACUGAAGGAAUAGUCAACCGGAACGUGACGCCGGAUAAAUCAGGUGCAGUUGGGAGUGGCCGCUGAUGACAUCACAUAACAAUCAGCCAAUCACAACACGGGGAUCACUGGUCUUCACAGACCAUCGUCGUCGGCCACACGGCGGUCGACGUGCGGGUCCCGGGUGAGCCCCGGUUACUGUUCCUCCGGUACGAUCUGGUCCUGGUGGUACAGGUCGUCAAAGUCCUCCUCUGGCUCCGAGUGCAGCCGGGCGCCCGGUGGACUCAUGACGUCACUUCCUGUCAUCACGUCCACCGGCGUCCAGCCGUCGGCAUGGUCCGUGUCCUCCUCGGGGUCCAGGCGGCGCCCUGCGAUGUCGCCGGAGAGCGGGGCGAGGUAUGCUCGCAUGGCUUCAUACUGCUCUUCUUCUUCGUCUUGACCCGGGACGUCCCACUCGACCGUGUCCAGCACGUCGGGGUCGGAGACGUCCUGGUUUACAGGGACCGCCUCCACCAUGGAGGGGGGGUAGAUCUCAGCCUGGUUCAUGGGGAGCUCCUCUACCAUGGAUGGGGGGUGGAGCUCAGCCUGGUCCAGGGGGACCACCUCCACCAUGGAGGGGUGGUGGAGCUCAGCCUGGUCCAGGGGGACCACCUCCACCAUGGAGGGGUGGUGGAGCUCAGCCUGGUCCAGGGGGACCACCUCCACCAUGGAGGGGUGGUGGAGCUCAGCCUGGUCCCCUUCAGCCAUCUGGUACUCUCCGUCGGGUCCCGAUUGGUCCACCCUCUUCCAGAUCUUCAUGCUGGGGUCGAUGUCGUAGCUGGUCAUGUCCAGGCUCUCCGGGGGCGCCACCUGGAGGUCCCAGUGCUGCUCCUCCCUGCCCUCGGCCCUGGAGGAUAAAGGCCCAGCAGUGGCAGGUAUAAGGCUACGGGGCGGCAUGUGGCUCGGGAGGUAGAGCGGGUUGGCUGGUAACAGAAGGUUGCUAGAUCGAUCUAGCAAGUGUCGAUGUGUCCCUGAGGAAGACGCAUCACCAUAACUGCUCCCGACGAGCUGGCUGUCGC